GAUGAACGCUGGCGGCGUGCCUAAUACAUGCAAGUCGAGCGAACGGACGAGAAGCUUGCUUCUCUGAUGUUAGCGGCGGACGGGUGAGUAACACGUGGAUAACCUACCUAUAAGACUGGGAUAACUUCGGGAAACCGGAGCUAAUACCGGAUAAUAUUUUGAACCGCAUGGUUCAAAAGUGAAAGACGGUCUUGCUGUCACUUAUAGAUGGAUCCGCGCUGCAUUAGCUAGUUGGUAAGGUAACGGCUUACCAAGGCAACGAUGCAUAGCCGACCUGAGAGGGGGAAGGCCCACACAGGAAGUGAGACCCGGUCCAGGCUCCGAGGGGAGGACGAGGUGGGGAAUUUUCCGAAAUGGGGGGAAGCCGGACGGAGCAACGCCGGGGGGGGGAUGAAGGGUUUCGGAUGGUAAAACUCUGUUAUUGGGGAAAAACAUAUGUGAAAGUAACGGUGCCAGUCUUGAGGGAACCGAAAAAGAAGCCCACGGCAAACUCCGG
rnacentral:rRNA from 1 species